rnacentral:lncRNA from 1 species
GAAGGUGUACCUGAGACCUCUUCUGCUCCAGACGCGUCCGCGGCCAGGAUGAAGAGGCCGAAGUUAAAGAAAGCAAGUAAACGUAUGACCUGUCAUAAGCGGUAUAAAAUCCAGAAAAAGGUUCGAGAACAUCAUCGAAAAUUAAGGAAGGAAGCUAAAAAGCGGGGUCACAAGAAGCCUAAGAAGGACCCAGGAGUUCCAAAUAGUGCUCCCUUUAAAGAGGCUCUUCUUCGUGAAGCUGAGCUAAGGAAACAGCAGCUUGAAGAACUAAAACAGCAGCAGAAACUUGACAGGCAAAAAGAACAAGAACGAAAAAGAAAACUUGAAAUUAGCCCUGAUGAUGAGCAAUCUAAUGUGGAAACUCAGGAGGUGAGGCUACCUUUCCUUAAAAGUUAGUGGGCUUAUGGCAGUAACAAAAUGUAGGUUAUCUCAACCAUUUAAAUCUGUUGCCUGUUGACACCUGUGGAGAGUGGUAACAGCUGCUCUUUCUAAUUUUUUCUUCCUUUUAGGAAUCUGAUGAGCCCAAAAUAAAGAAAGCUAAAUCAGGCAAACAGAAUCCAAAGAAGUUACAUUGUCAGGAACUUAAAAAGGUACCUUAGUAUAGGUUAGUGUCAAAAAUGGUAAUGAGAUUUUGAAAACGUAAGAGUCCUUCCUUGACAGCAGCUUUGUAAAGUGGACUUGCUUCCUGCAGCUCCCCAGCCCUGGCAUUCAUUUCCCAGGCUAAGCUACCGCCUUCUAAAGAGGCUUGUUACACUGCACAGCUCCGCUGGGGUAGACUGUGUGUUCUGACCUAACGGGUUGGAGGCCAGUGUCCAGUCGGAAGCUGCUGGGUGAGGUUCUUUGUUCAACUUUGAUGUAUAGUAACUCAUGAACAUGUCAGCAUUUGUCAUAGGAAAGUGAAAACAUGGGAUCUGCCUUCUACACUCACUGUCAAAGGUGAGUGCUACUCAACGAGGGAUGCUGUUCUGAUGGUUCUUGUUUGACAGGUGAUUGAAGCCUCAGACAUUGUGUUAGAAGUUUUGGAUGCCAGAGAUCCUCUUGGUUGCAGGUGUCCUCAAGUAGAAGAAGCUGUUAUCCAAAGUGGAUGUAAAAAACUAGUACUUGUAUUAAAUAAGUCAGAUCUAGUACCAAAAGAGAAUCUAGAGAACUGGCUAACUUACUUGAAUAAGGAAUUGCCAACAGUGGUGUUCAAAGCCUCAACAAACUUAAAGAACAGAAAGAAGACAUUCAAGAUAAAGAAGAAAGUUGUUCCAUUCCAAAGUAAACUCUGCUGUGGCAAGGAAGCACUGUGGAAGCUCCUUGGAGGUUUUCAGCAGUCCUGUGGAAAAGGAGUUCAGGUUGGAGUGGUUGGUUUCCCAAAUGUGGGAAAAAGCAGCAUCAUUAAUAGUUUAAAACAAGAAAGGAUUUGCAGUGUUGGAGUUUCCAUGGGACUUACAAGGUAAAUGAACUGUCCGUGAUCAGAAAGAAAUGAGUAGUGGGUGCUGGGUUACGAGAAUUCAUUGAAAAGGCCCAGGUACCUUACAGCUGAGUUUGAAAAGUUAAAGAAAGCUCCCUCAGAGAAAGUAGUGUUGGACCUUGUCUUGGAAAAAUGAGGAAAUGGCAUUAUUAUGUAUCUUGCAGCGUUCAUUCUGAGGUUUCGAGGAAACAUGAAGCAAUGAUGACAGAUUGGAUCUGACUUUACUGCUAUGCUGAGUUUGUUCAAUCCAACCCUGAGCUUCAUGUUGUCUUGCCCUCAGAUGUACAAUGUCCCUGCUAACUCCAUGGCUUUUUUCCCCCAGGAGUAUGCAGAUUGUCCCUUUAGACAAACAGAUCACAAUCAUAGAUAGUCCGUGCUUCAUUAUCUCACCUUGUAACUCCCCUGCUGCACUUGCCCUCCGAAGUCCAGCAAGUAUUGAAGUUCUAAGACCAUUGGAGGCUGCCAGUGCCAUCCUGUCUCAGGCUGAUAGUCAACAGGUGGUGUUAAAAUAUACUGUCCCGGGGUAUAAGGAUUCUCUGGAUUUUUUUACUAAACUUGCUCAGAGAAGAGGUCUGCACCAAAAAGGUGGAAGCCCAAAUGUCGAAAGUGCUGCUAAGCUGCUAUGGUCUGAGUGGACAGGGUAAGGUGUCUCUGUAUUGGUAUCUUGGAAGACAGCUUAGAGUAAAGGGAUUGGCCUAUGUUUGACAGAUCUUGUCUUUAAUGCCAGUGCCUCAUUAGGUUACUACUGCCAUCCCCCUGCAUCCUGGAAUCAUUCUCCUCAUUUUAAUGAGAAUAUUACAGCAAUCAUGAAGAGGGGCUUUAAUCUAGAAGAACUAGAAAAGAAUAAUGCACACAGCAUACAAGGUAAAAUUGUUACAUGAAUGAACGUAUCAUGAUAGUUAAUAAGAAUGACAAUGCUGGAGGGCUUCUCUAUUAACAUGAGUUCUAUUCCUUUCCACUAGUCCUCAAGGGCCCUCAUUUAACUAAUAAAAUCCUUUUCCGGUCUUCGGGCCUGACAAAUGGAAUACUAGAAGAAAAGGACAUCCCCGAAGAGUCACCAAAACAGACAGAAGACCAACAGGAUGGUGAUGAUCAAGAACAUGUUACUGGUGAAAAAAAUGCAGAGAUCUCAGAUGUGACUCCUGUAGAAGAGACCAGGGAGAUGUCACCUGGGCAAUCAACAGCAAGUAAACCAUCUGACAGAUCCUUUAUCUUGGAUAAAAUGAGUGAAGAAGACGAUGCCUAUGACUUUACCACAGAUUAUAUAUAGCCUUCUAAAUGUUCAAGUGUGCUCUGUACAGUGUUUCUAGAUUGCUUUGGUAUGAUAUAAAGUGUAAAUCUUGUGAAUAUGUAUCAUGUUCUAAAUUAAAAACAAAAUAAAAAGUGUUUGUAUA